rnacentral:rRNA from 1 species
UGGGGAAUAUUGCACAAUGGGGGAAACCCUGAUGCAGCGACGCCGCGUGAGCGAAGAAGGCUUUCGAGUCGUAAAGCUCUGUCCUAUGAGAAGAUAAUGACGGUAUCAUAGGAGGAAGCCCUGGCUAAAUACGUGCCAGCAGCCGCGGUAAUACGUAGGUCCCGAGUGUUGUCCGGAUUUAUUGGGCGUAAAGCGAGCGCAGGCGGUUAGAAAAGUCUGAAGUGAAAGGCAGUGGCUCAACCAUUGUAGGCUUUGGAAACUGUUUAACUUGAGUGCAGAAGGGGAGAGUGGAAUUCCAUGUGUAGCGGUGAAAUGCGUAGAUAUAUGGAGGAACACCGGUGGCGGAAGCGGCUCUCUGGUCUGUAACUGACGCUGAGGCUCGAAAGAGUGGGGAGCGAACAGG